GGCUUUUAAGGUGUGCCCCCGCUCCCUGCCGCUCCAAACGGCUAGGGUUGCGCUGCGGGAUUGCACAAAGCUA
rnacentral:tRNA from 1 species